UUCACCCCCUCUUGAUUAGUUGAAUGUAUCAGUGUGUUUUUUUUUUUUUGGCAUAAGAUAUGCAAAAGAUCUGAGAAAAAUGCUACUUAGUCCCCAAAAUAAAACUAUCCCCUAUACCAAUUGACCCGUGUAAAUGCAUUAUCAAUCGGUUUACCAAAAAUUAUUCUAUCAACCAAAAAAGUCCUGUAAUUUGGUAUGCAGGUGAACAAAAAAGCACUAAACUGACUUGGUAAAAAUUGGAGUGAAGAAACCAAGUACAAACUUUUCACGUUGGGAAACCAAGGUCAUGCCAACAGUGAAGGACUGGGAGAGUUGAAUAGUAUCUGCUGCUAUGGAAUAUUUGGGAGAAGGACUCUAUUAUUGUGAUAUAUAAAGUAUCCAUUGAUAUAGCUAUAAAUUUUAAGACUGCUUAAAGCAGAAGCAACGAAGAAACACUGAAGGUUUUUGUCAAUUUUUUGUGUUUGGUUUGAAUAUUAGAAAGAUAUGAUCCUCAAGGAUUGACCAGAGUCAAAUUGUAACAAAAAUACAAAAUUUCAUUUCAUUUUUUUAUUUGGUUUAUGCAUACUUGGGUUAAAA